UGAAGGCGGGCUGGAAUCUCUCGGGGUUACAGCCUUGCUGAAUUAUUCACCCUUGUCUUUUGCGUACUUCUUGUUUCCUUGGUGGGUUCGCCCACCACUAGGACAAACAUAAACCUUUUGUAAUUGCAAUCAGCGUCAGUAACAAAUUAAUAAUUACAACUUUCAACAACGGAUCUCUUGGUUCUGGCAUCGAUGAAGAACGCAGCGAAAUGCGAUAAGUAGUGUGAAUUGCAGAAUUCAGUGAAUCAUCGAAUCUUUGAACGCACAUUGCGCCCUUUGGUAUUCCAAAGGGCAUGCCUGUUCGAGCGUCAUUUGUACCCUCAAGCUUUGCUUGGUGUUGGGCGUCUUGUCUCUAGCUUUGCUGGAGACUCGCCUUAAAGUAAUUGGCAGCCGGCCUACUGGUUUCGGAGCGCAGCACAAGUCGCACUCUCUAUCAGCAAAGGUCUAGCAUCCAUUAAGCCUUUUUUCAACUUUUGACCUCGGAUCAGGUAGGGAUACCCGCUGAACUUAAGCAUAUCAAUAAGCGGAGGAA
rnacentral:rRNA from 1 species